AGAUUAAGUUAUUAAGGGCGCACGGUGGAUGCCUUGGCACUAGAAGCCGAAGAAGGACGUUACUAACGACGAUAUGCUUUGGGUAGCUGUAAGUAAGCGUUGAUCCAGAGAUUUCCGAAUGGGGGAACCCAACAUGAGUUAUGUCAUGUUAUCGACAUGUGAAUUCAUAGCAUGUCAGAAGGCAGACCCGGAGAACUGAAACAUCUUAGUACCCGGAGGAAGAGAAAGAAAAAUCGAUUCCCUGAGUAGCGGCGAGCGAAACGGGAAGAGCCCAAACCAACAAGCUUGCUUGUUGGGGUUGUAGGACACUCUAUACGGAGUUACAAAAGAACAUGUUAGACGAAUCAUCUGGAAAGAUGAAUCAAAGAAGGUAAUAAUCCUGUAGUCGAAAACAUAUUCUCUCUUGAGUGGAUCCUGAGUACGACGGAGCACGUGAAAUUCCGUCGGAAUCUAGGAGGACCAUCUCCUAAGGCUAAAUACUCUCUAGUGACCGAUAGUGAACCAGUACCGUGAGGGAAAGGUGAAAAGUACCCCGGAAGGGGAGUGAAAGAGAACUUGAAACCGUGUGCUUACAAGUAGUCAGAGCCCGUUCAUGGGUAAUGGCGUGCCUUUUGUAGAAUGAACCGGCGAGUUACGAUCUGAUGCAAGGUUAAGCAGCGAAUGUGGAGCCGUAGCGAAAGCGAGUCUGAAUAGGGCGUUGAGUAUUUGGUCGUAGACCCGAAACCAGGUGAUCUACCCUUGGUCAGGUUGAAGUUCAGGUAACACUGAAUGGAGGACCGAACCGACUUACGUUGAAAAGUGAGCGGAUGAACUGAGGGUAGCGGAGAAAUUCCAAUCGAACUUGGAGAUAGCUGGUUCUCUCCGAAAUAGCUUUAGGGCUAGCCUCAAGUGAUGAUUAUUGGAGGUAGAGCACUGUUUGGACGAGGGGCCCCUCUCGGGUUACCGAAUUCAGACAAACUCCGAAUGCCAAUCAAUUUAACUUGGGAGUCAGAACAUGGGUGAUAAGGUCCGUGUUCGAAAGGGAAACAGCCCAGACCACCAGCUAAGGUCCCAAAAUAUAUGUUAAGUGGAAAAGGAUGUGGCGUUGCCCAGACAACUAGGAUGUUGGCUUAGAAGCAGCCAUCAUUUAAAGAGUGCGUAAUAGCUCACUAGUCGAGUGACACUGCGCCGAAAAUGUACCGGGGCUAAACAUAUUACCGAAGCUGUGGAUUGUCCUUCGGACAAUGGUAGGAGAGCGUUCUAAGGGCGUUGAAGCAUGAUCGCAAGGACAUGUGGAGCGCUUAGAAGUGAGAAUGCCGGUGUGAGUAGCGAAAGACGGGUGAGAAUCCCGUCCACCGAUUGACUAAGGUUUCCAGAGGAAGGCUCGUCCGCUCUGGGUUAGUCGGGUCCUAAGCUGAGGCCGACAGGCGUAGGCGAUGGAUAACAGGUUGAUAUUCCUGUACCACCUAGUAUCGUUUUAAU
rnacentral:rRNA from 1 species